GCACUGCUGAGGAGUCCCAAAAUAGGACGAAACGGCCGCCCAGUGU
rnacentral:hammerhead_ribozyme from 1 species